UUUCUCACGUUCUCUUUCUCUCUCUCUGUCUCUCUCCAGAGAGCACACAAACACUGGCAAAUUAAAAAAGAAAGAAAUAGAAUAAGUGAAAUGAAAUACGAUCACUUAAAUCUUCUUUGUAAUUGGUUUAAAACAGGAAUUGGCAUCUUUUCCUGUGGAGGGCCAGUUAAUAAAUGUUUGGUUCAUGGACAACAUAGUCUCUGUCCCAACUUCUCAACUGGGCAGUUACAGCACAACCAUUAGAUCUGGAGAGCCUUGGGACUGGAGUGACAUCGCGGAGGGCAUCUGUCAUGAGGGACCACCUGACAGAAACUGUGGCUUCUAAUAAAGGGGCACAACCAAACCUAACCUACUUUGAGUGUUCCUCAACAGGAAGCUUCAGGCUUCAAGUACAGGUAGUUCAUCUGGGAGAUCCAGGAGGGCCAGCAGGGGAGUAAGUAUGCAGAGAAAAGUGGAAACUCAGCAAAGGGCGUUUUACUAACCAAAUACUAGAGAGGCAACUGGAGCAUUGCGCAGGUGCAAACACUGAGUGGCAUAUCAGUAUUCAUUUUCUGCUCUUGUAUUUUAUGAGGUUGGCCAUCUAAAAUGAAUACAACCUAUGCAGCCCGAGUUGUCUGAUGGUCGAGGUGGUAGUAACCUUGGGACUGUCGCUGAAGGCAGAACAAUGCAAGGAAGUGACUGAAGGGAGGAGAACAUCUCUGCAGGCAUCCUAAGUGUAAAGAUGGCAUGAAGUCUGCAUGUAAUCUCAUCUACCCAUGUGAAACAACAGAUGGGCAGAAAUUAGUCUACAAGGGACUAUGCCAGCUGUUAAUAGUGGUUGUGUCUGGGCGAUGGGACAAAAAGUGGUUCUCUUCUCCUCUGAGUUCUACAACCUCUAUUGAGUAUGCACUCAUGUUACAAUAGGAAUUAACAGUAGCUUUCGAUUUCAAGGUAUAUUAAGAUGCUCCAAAAACACAGCAUCUCCAAGAUUCUCAUUUAAUAGGAACACCCACUCGGGCUGGGUUAUCUAAGGAAUACAACUCAGCCGCAUGUAAACACAUUUUCUCCGUAGACUACAUCUGCUCUGCCAGGGAGUCAGGUGUUUGGAGGGGCAACGGUGACCAUGAAGUGCCAAAUGUAGACUUUACAUUCCCCUCCUCUCUGCCCAUCUCUGUCUCUGCCUCUCUCUAUUUUAGACCAAUAGGAACUUUAGUAUUUUAACAACAAAAUUAUUUCUCUAAACUAACAUUUUCGGAUAGUGAAAAAGCAUGCAGUAUUGAGAGGAAUCUGCUGAUAAACAGUUAGAACCCCGUGGGUGAAAUGCCACAGGACCCUCUUCCGGCAGUCACAGGUGGGUCUCUGCUGUGUGUUCAGAGCCCGCUUCCUCUCACCACAUCCAACUCAGAUUUGCUCUGCGAUUUCCCCUGGCCUGCACGUCUGCUUGUGCCAGGGCUGGGAGAAUGCUGUUGCUGCUGCAGCUCAUGACUAUUGCUGCCAUCUGGCCUUAUGCAAACGGAGACAUUCUCAUAACACAACUCGUAACGUCGGUCACCAAGAAAAAAGGCAGUACAGCGUUUCUUGGCUGCCAAAUUAAAACAGCUACCUUGCAGAACAAUCUGUAUAUCCACUGGUACCGACAGCAGGCCGGCCAGCCCUUAAAGCGAAUUCUGUGUAUUUCCUCAAAUGAAAAUGUCCUGCAUGAACGAGGUAUUAGCGAGAGGAAAUUUGAAGCAAGGAAACAGCGGGGUCUCUCCUGGAGCCUCAGAAUACACCAGGUGGCCGAGGAGGACGCAGGCAUGUACUACUGUGCCUACUGGGAUACACUGCAGCACGGCGCUCCCCUGUCCCCGAGCGAGAACCUCCCCGUGCCCACUGCACACACCCUGCCCUCAGCCUCCAGAGGACCUGACUGCCGCCCGCAAAGCACUUUGCUCCUCCACAUGUGUCCCGAGCAAGAGCCCAAGGUCCCAAACUGUGACAGUGCUCUUAAUUAGGAACCACUGUGUGCUUACCCUUCUGGGCCCGGAACCGGCAUUUGUAAAUGUCCCAAAUUGUUUCUAUACCUGAGGAGGCGUUUGGGAAGGGAGCCAUAAUCGAAUAUUCAAUAUCGUUGGUUGACUUUAAAUGAAUGAAUGAAUGAAUGAUAGGAAAUACAAGGACAUAGACCUAGGCUU